UACAGAGGUCUCAAGCGUUGUUCGGAUUCAUUGGGCGUAAAGGGUGCGUAGGCGGCGCGGUAAGUCGGGUGUGAAAUCUCGGGGCUUAACUCCGAAACUGCAUUCGAUACUGCCGUGCUUGAGGACUGGAGAGGAGACUGGAAUUUACGGUGUAGCGGUGAAAUGCGUAGAUAUCGUAAGGAAGACCAGUGGCGAAGGCGGGCUACUGGGCCGAUACUGACGCUGAUGCGCGAAAGCCAGGGGAGCAAACGGG
rnacentral:rRNA from 1 species